GGGAAACAGGGUAGGACCCAACCCCAGGCCCUGAAACAAUGUUAUGGGGCA
rfam:Rattus norvegicus chromosome 18, whole genome shotgun sequence.